UUCCGGUUGAUCCUGCCGGACCUGACUGCUAUCGGAUUGGUACUAAGCCAUGCGAGUCAUUGUAGCAAUACAAGGCGGACGGCUCAGUAACACGUAGUCAACCUAACUCGUGGACGUGGAUAACCUCGGGAAACUGAGAAUAAACCGCGAUAGACCAUAGUGCCUGGAAUGGCCUAUGAUCAAAAUAGUUUACUGCCAUGGGAUGGGACUGCGGCCUAUCAGCUUGUUGGUGAGGUAAUGGCCCACCAAGGCGAUUACAGGUACGGGCUCUGAGAGGAGAAGCCCGGAGAUGGGUACUGAGACACGGACCCAGGCCCUAUGGGGCGCAGCAGGCGAGAAACCUUAGCAAUGUGCGAAAGCACGACUGGGUCAGUCCGAGUGAUUCCUGAUGAAGGAGUCUUAAGCUUGUCCUACAAGCACAGGUGACUAAGGGGUGGGCAAGUCUGGUGUCAGCCGCCGCGGUAAUACCAGCAACUCGAGUGGUCCGGACGUUCAUAGGAGACUAAAGCAUCCUAAGCCGCGCU
rnacentral:rRNA from 1 species